rnacentral:rRNA from 1 species
GUCGAGCGAGCUGAACAGCAGAUUCACUUCGGUGAUGACGCUGGGAACGCGAGCGGCGGAUGGGUGAGUAACACGUGGGUAACCUGCCCUAAAGUCUGGGAUACCACUUGGAAACAGGUGCUAAUACCGGAUAACAACAAUAGCUGCAUGGCUAUUGCUUAAAAGGCGGCGAAAGCUGUCGCUAAAGGAUGGACCCGCGGUGCAUUAGCUAGUUGGUAAGGUAAUGGCUUACCAAGGCGACGAUGCAUAGCCGAGUUGAGAGACUGAUCGGCCACAUUGGGACUGAGACACGGCCCAAACUCCUACGGGAGGCAGCAGUAGGGAAUCUUCCACAAUGGGCGAAAGCCUGAUGGAGCAACGCCGCGUGAGUGAAGAAGGUUUUCGGAUCGUAAAGCUCUGUUGUUGGUGAAGAAGGAUAGAGGUAGUAACUGGCCCCUAUUUGACGGUAAUCAACCAGAAAGUCACGGCUAACUACGUGCCAGCAGCCGCGGUAAUACGUAGGUGGCAAGCGUUGUCCGGAUUUAUUGGGCGUAAAGCGAGCGCAGGCGGAAAGAUAAGUCUGAUGUGAAAGCCCCCGGCUUAACCGAGGAAUUGCAUCGGAAACUGUGUUUCUUGAGUGCAGAAGAGGAGAGUGGAACUCCAUGUGUAGCGGUGGAAUGCGUAGAUAUAUGGAAGAACACCAGUGGCGAAGGCGGCUCUCUGGUCUGUAACUGACGCUGAGGCUCGAAAGCAUGGGUAGCGAACAGGAUUAGAUACCCUGGUAGUCCAUGCCGUAAACGAUGAGUGCUAAGUGUUGGGAGGUUUCCGCCUCUCAGUGCUGCAGCUAACG